CCUACGGGCGGCAGCAGUGGGGAAUCUUGCGCAAUGGGCGGAAGCCUGACGCAGCGACGCCGCGUGCGGGACGAAGGCCUUCGGGUCGUAAACCGCUUUCAGCAGGGACGAGGCCCUCACGGUGACGGUACCUGCAGAAGAAGCCCUGGCUAACUACGUGCCAGCAGCUGCGGCAAUACGUGGGGGGCGAGCGUUAUCCGGAUUCAGUGGGCGUAAAGCGCGCGUAGGCGGCCUGUUAGGUCGGGGGUAAAGUACCGGGGCUCAACCCCGGUCCGCCCCCGAUACCGGCAGGCUUGAGUAUGGUAGAGGAAAGCGGAAUUCCCAGUGUAGCGGUGGAAUGCGCAGAUAUUGGGAAGAACACCAGCGGCGAAGGCGGCCUUCUGGGCCACGACUGACGCUGAGGCGCGAAAGCUAGGGGAGCGAACAGGAUUAGAUACCCUUGUAGUC
rnacentral:rRNA from 1 species